GAUGAACGCUGGCGGCGUGCCUAAUACAUGCAAGUCGAGCGAACGGACGAGAAGCUUGCUUCUCUGAUGUUAGCGGCGGACGGGUGAGUAACACGUGGGUAACCUACCUAUAAGACUGGGAUAACUUCGGGAAACCGGAGCUAAUGCCGGAUAAUAUUUUGAACCGCAUGGUUCAAAAGUGAAAGACGGUCUUGCUGUCACUUAUAGAUGGAUCCGCGCUGCAUUAGCUAGUUGGUAAGGUAACGGCUUACCAAGGCAACGAUGCAUAGCCGACCUGAGAGGGUGAUCGGCCACACUGGAACUGAGACACGGUCCAGACUCCUACGGGAGGCAGCAGUAGGGAAUCUUCCGCAAUGGGCGAAAGCCUGACGGAGCAACGCCGCGUGAGUGAUGAAGGUCUUCGGAUCGUAAAACUCUGUUAUUAGGGAAGAACAUAUGUGUAAGUAACUGUGCACAUCUUGACGGUACCUAAUCAGAAAGCCACGGCUAACUACGUG
rnacentral:rRNA from 1 species